GACGAACGCUGGCGGCGUGCUUAACACAUGCAAGUCGAACGGAAAGGCCCCUUUGGGGGUACUCGAGUGGCGAACGGGUGAGUAACACGUGAGUAACCUGCCCUUGACUUCGGGAUAACUUCAGGAAACUGGGGCUAAUACCGGAUAGGAAUCCUUGCUGCAUGGUGGGGGUUGGAAAGCUUCGGCGGUUUUGGAUGGACUCGCGGCUUAUCAGCUUGUUGGUGGGGUAGUGGCUUUCCAAGGCUUUGACGGGUAGCCGGCCUGAGAGGGCGACCGGCCACAUUGGGACUGAGAGACGGCCCAGACUCCUACGGGAGGCAGCAGUGGGGAAUAUUGCACAAUGGGCGGAAGCCUGAUGCAGCAACGCCGCGUGCGGGAUGACGGCCUUCGGGUUGUAAACCGCUUUCAGCAGGGGCGAAGCUUGUGGUGACGGUACCUGCAGAAGAAGCACCGGCUAACUACGUG
rnacentral:rRNA from 1 species